ensembl:snoRNA SNORD14 Small nucleolar RNA SNORD14
ACGCUGUGAUGAUGAUUUUUCCUGCCAUUCGUAGUUUCCACCUGAGGUCUUCCAGACCAAAGACGGCCCAAACCUUCCUUGGAUGUCUGAGCGU